CUCUUUUUAAAUGGUUUUAUUUAUUUUAGAGAGCAUGCACAUGUGCACAAGUGAGUAGGGAAAGGGGCUGAGAGAGAGGGAAAGGGAGAGAAUCCCAAGCAGACCCCAUGCUGAGUUCAGAGCCCAACUUGGAGCUCAAUCUCAGGACCCUGAAAUCAUGACCUGAGCCAAAACCAAGUUAGACACUCAACCGAGUAAGCCACCAUGCACCCCUAGAAACCUCUUUUUAUGCAAGUGGCUUGCAUCUUGAUGAUAAUAUACAUCUCAGGAUGGAUUUGGAAAUUUGAGAUUAUUUAAGUUUUCUCAUUAUAUGAUAAUCUCUAGAAAAUAUAAGUAAUAUAUUUUUAUUUGAUGAGUGAGCCUACUAUUCUUUAAACAACAUAAUAUUAUCAAUGAGCAGUUUAGCCUACAAAGACGUUUGACAUAGAAAGGCACUUUCUCUGUUAAUUUUUCUGUCAGCAGCAUUAUAAGAGGAAGAUAUGAACUACUUCAUGAUCUCAAUAAAUUAUGCUUGAAUUAAAGACUGGCUGACAUGUGGACUGAGUGCAGAGGGAGGCCUAUGAAGUGGGGAGUAUGGAGGACUGGACCAACCCGUGGCUACUGCCCUUGGCUGUGUGAGCCCCUGGAAGAGGCCAGGCUAAUGCCGACAUUUGGUGAAGAUGAAGAAAGAUACAUUACCCAAAUUAUAAUGGAGCAACGUCUGCUGGCAGAUGAGGAUGGUUAUUUAUUUGUUUAUUUCAACAAAUCAAAUUUUCACAAGAUGUCUGAACACAUGAGACAACAUUGUGUGAUCACAAUUUAAUUUCAUAUGAUGAUGCAGACAAACUCAUGGAAUUACCAGGGUCUAGCGGCAGAAGUGAGUACGAUAAUAUGCUUUCCAGUGCUUACUUACAUUCACAGCUGCCUGAGAGGCUUACAUUUAGGGAAUAGGCAAGUUUGUGAAAACGUGGCCUAAUUUGAAUUGUGUAUAAGUGAAUACUUUUAAAAGUGGUUAGAGGUGAAAGAUUUUAGAACUUUGCUUUACUUUGGAGCAGUGCCCUGUGCUAAUCAAAUCAUGA
rnacentral:lncRNA from 1 species